GUAGGUGGCAAGCGUUGUCCGGAAUUAUUGGGGCGUAAAGCGCGCGCAGGCGGUUCCUUAAGUCUGAUGUGAAAGCCCACGGGCUCAACCGUGGAGGGUCAUUGGAAACUGGAGAACUUGAGUACAGAAGAGGAAAGCGGAAUUCCACGUGUAGCGGUGAAAUGCGUAGAGAUGUGGAGGAACACCAGUGGCGAAGGCGGCUUUCUGGUCUGUAACUGACGCUGAGGCGCGAAAGCGCGGGGAGCAAACAGGAUUAGAUACCCUGGUAGUCCACGCCGUAAACGAUGAGUGCUAAGUGUUAGGGGGUUUCCGCCCCUUAGUGCUGCAGCUAACGCAUUAAGCACUCCGCCUGGGGAGUACGGCCGCAAAGGCUG
rnacentral:rRNA from 1 species